rnacentral:rRNA from 1 species
UACGUAGGGAGCAAGCGUUGUCCGGAAUCAUUGGGCGUAAAGCGCGCGUAGGUGGCUUCGUAAGUCCGUUGUGAAAGUCAAAGGCUCAACCUUUGAAAGCCGAUGGAUACUGCGGAGCUAGAGUACGGAAGAGGCGAGUGGAAUUCCUGGUGUAGCGGUGAAAUGCGCAGAUAUCAGGAGGAACACCGGUGGCGAAGGCGGGUCUCUGGGCCGAUAUUGACGCUGAGGAGCGAAAGCGUGGGGAGCAAACAGG